UAAUCGGCAAUCUUCUUUUUUUGGGAGGUCAACUGCAGUUGCAAUGAUGACCACUUUUUCAAAACCCAUUUUCGCAUGACACGUGCCAGUUUUAACACACUCUGUGGCUUUCUCGGCAAUUUAGAAAAAGCCGAUACAAGCUGGCGCACGACAAUUUCAUUGCAAAAGCGAGUAGCAAUCGCUUUAUUUGCCCUUGGUUCAGCUGGAGAGUAUCGAGUAGUAUCUGAAUUGUUUGGUGUUGGCAAAUCAUCUGUGUGUGCAAUAUUGAUGGAAUUCUGCGAAGAAGUGUGGCAAGCGUUGUCCCCACAGUAUAUAAAGAAAUUGCCAUCCACGUAAGAAAGAGUCGCUGAAUGUGUGAAUGGUUUUCAUCGCCUUGGCUUUCCACAAUGUCUGGGAGCAAUUGAUGGAUGUCACAUCGAAAUAAAACCAAACAAGACUGAUGCAACUGACUAUUACAAUUAUAAGGGAUGGCAUUCUGUUGUACUUCUUGCGCUUGUGGAUUACAGAUGCCGUUUUUUAUAUAUAAAUAUUGGUGCUCCGGGACGUUGCAAUGACUCCCAAAUAUAUAAUUCAUCCCUACUUAAAAAGGUGUUAACUGAGGACGAAGUAUUGGCGGCCAAUAAAAAGAAUAUACAUGGUGUACAAAUGCCGGUUGGUAUCUUGGAUUCGGCAUUUCGUUUUUCCACCACUUUAAUGAAGCCAUACCAGCCAGAAGAGUGGUAGAGAAUGCUUUCGGUCAUUUAAAAGCCCGUUUUCGUCGCAUUGGAAAAGGCUUAGAUAACCGAAUAGGGAACGCGCCGAUGAUUAUUCGAGCUUGCUGUGUUUUACACAACUUUUUAAACGAAGAAAGUGAUCAUAUUAAUCAAAUAUGGUUAGAAAAUUUGGAAGAAUUUGACCGAAAUCGGGAAAACCCUUCGCAAAAAGUUGUACUUGCUGAUAACGAAGCCUCAGCUGUGUUCUUAUUUUGGUAAGUAAAAGUUAUUCUUUCCCCAUAACUUUUUAUUGAAAAGUGUAUUUAUUUAUUUGC